rnacentral:rRNA from 1 species
GAUGAACGCUGGCGGCGUGCCUAAUACAUGCAAGUCGAGCGAACGGACGAGAAGCUUGCUUCUCUGAUGUUAGCGGCGGACGGGUGAGUAACACGUGGAUAACCUACCUAUAAGACUGGGAUAACUUCGGGAAACCGGAGCUAAUACCGGAUAAUAUCAUGAACCGCAUGGUUCAAAAGUGAAAGACGGUCUUGCUGUCACUUAUAGAUGGAUCCGCGCUGCAUUAGCUAGUUGGUAAGGUAACGGCUUACCAAGGCAACGAUGCAUAGCCGACCUGAGAGGGUGAUCGGCCACACUGGAACUGAGACACGGUCCAGACUCCUACGGGAGGCAGCAGUAGGGAAUCUUCCGCAAUGGGCGAAAGCCUGACGGAGCAACGCCGCGUGAGUGAUGAAGGUCUUCGGAUCGUAAAACUCUGUUAUUAGGGAAGAACAUAUGUGUAAGUAACUGUGCACAUCUUGACGGUACCUAAUCAGAAAGCCACGGCUAACUACGUGCCAGCAGCCGCGGUAAUACGUAGGUGGCAAGCGUUAUCCGGAAUUAUUGGGCGUAAAGCGCGCGUAGGCGGUUUUUUAAGUCUGAUGUGAAAGCCCACGGCUCAACCGUGGAGGGUCAUUGGAAACUGGAAAACUUGAGUGCAGAAGAGGAAAGUGGAAUUCCAUGUGUAGCGGUGAAAUGCGCAGAGAUAUGGAGGAACACCAGUGGCGAAGGCGACUUUCUGGUCUGUAACUGACGCUGAUGUGCGAAAGCGUGGGGAUCAAACAGGAUUAGAUACCCUGGUAGUCCACGCCGUAAACGAUGAGUGCUAAGUGUUAGGGGGUUUCCGCCCCUUAGUGCUGCAGCUAACGCAUUAAGCACUCCGCCUGGGGAGUACGACCGCAAGGUUGAAACUCAAAGGAAUUGACGGGGACCCGCACAAGCGGUGGAGCAUGUGGUUUAAUUCGAAGCAACGCGAAGAACCUUACCAAAUCUUGACAUCCUUUGACAACUCUAGAGAUAGAGCUUUCCCCUUCGGGGGACAAAGUGACAGGUGGUGCAUGGUUGUCGUCAGCUCGUGUCGUGAGAUGUUGGGUUAAGUCCCGCAACGAGCGCAACCCUUAAGCUUAGUUGCCAUCAUUAAGUUGGGCACUCUAAGUUGACUGCCGGUGACAAACCGGAGGAAGGUGGGGAUGACGUCAAAUCAUCAUGCCCCUUAUGAUUUGGGCUACACACGUGCUACAAUGGACAAUACAAAGGGCAGCGAAACCGCGAGGUCAAGCAAAUCCCAUAAAGUUGUUCUCAGUUCGGAUUGUAGUCUGCAACUCGACUACAUGAAGCUGGAAUCGCUAGUAAUCGUAGAUCAGCAUGCUACGGUGAAUACGUUCCCGGGUCU